AUUUAUUGUCAUAUUUUUUUGUUGUUUUUGAUUAAAAUAAGAAUGAUAUAAUGGUACAUGAUUUAUUUUUAAAAUCAUUUAGAAAUAAAGCAUACCUUGAAAAGAAAAAUAAAGCACCUCAAAAUGUAAUUAAAUACAAAAUUAUAUAUACAAUAAUAUAAAUAGAAGUCAUUAUAUAGCUACAUGUAUUUAUAUAUUAUAAAAAAAAUCAACACAAUUUAAAAAUAUAUAAAUACAACCGCCACUCUAAAUACAAAAAAAAAAAAUACCUAUUUUGACAAGAAGAAAUAAAUACUCACACCAAUUUUUUUUAAAUAACUUCCAAAAAGAACUUUUUUAAACCAAACGAUUUUGUUGCAUUUCCAACACAAUUAUAUGAUACCUCAUAACGAAACCAACAAUGGGUCUUUACAAAAAUGUGGAAUUUAUGCCUGGAUUUAAGAUGGGAGUAUCUCAUUGGUUGAGCCAUAUAUGGCAAAGUUAAUUUAGAGUUUUUUUUUUUCAAAGAAAAUGGCAUAAGAAUGUAAAUAACUCAAAAAAUAUGAGGGCAAAAUCCUAGUAGAGAUUCCGCUUUAAUAGUAUAGAUAUAUUUUUCAAUAUGAUUACCACACAAUAGUUUGAAAAUUUCUAUAACCAACUUAAUAAGGAAAAAAAGAGUUGAACACAAAUAUGAUAACCAGACACUAAUUAAAAAAAAAACCAGUCAAACAAAUCUAAUCAAUUUUUAAGGAUUACCAUGCAAGACAUGCAUUACUAAUUAGAUUGUUCUAUCUAUAAAUUAAUCAUGAUCUUAAAUAGAAAUUACAACCAUCAAACUAGUAAAUCAAAAAAUAAAAAUUCUAAUAAACGUCUGUUUCUUUAUCGUAAUAAUAUCACGAAGAACAAUAUGUCUUCAUCACAUCUUGCUAUUUUUUGCGUCAUUCUGAUUGCAUUAUUUCCACUUCAUGAAUGUAUGUGUUUAUACUAGUUUCCCUUUUCUCAUCAUAUAUCAAUAUUAUCCUUGCAAUCACAUCAUGAUAUCCAAGUGAUAUUGUUGUUGCUUUUUUGUUUAUAUAGUUGUCGAUGGCCAAGGUGCUAAUGCGGGAUUUUGCGUACCAGUCAAUUGCGACACUAAUGACAAAAAUCGCAGUUGUGCUACCUGUCACAUUGCCUCGCCACGCAAGACACUUAGUUUCAAGAGCUUAGCAGAAUGUAAGGCUGGGUGCAAGGCAUAAGUUAACUCGAGGCGUGCAAAUAGCACUGAAUAAACGUUUUACUUAACACGUAAUUUAUCUGCUUCCGAUUUUAACUACAAUACAUAAUCUUAUUUUGAGUCCAAUAAAUCAAAUUUAUGCCUAUUGUAUAUGUGUUUAGAGAUUUCCAUAUUCUACGUAAUACAAAAUAGUUUAACCUAUUUCUCUCCUUUUGUUUUGUUUGACUAUUAAUAUUUUUUUAAGAAAAUAUAUCUUCUGUAUAAUUACUAAGAAUAAGUUUUUUAAACUGAAUAGUUUGUAAUAAUGGUAAAUGGUAAGUUUUUUUUUCUAUUUCCUUAUACGCCAUAGAUCAAAGAAAAAACAUAGAUCAAAGAGUAAAUGUAGAGAUUUUCUUAUUAGUCUUCACAAUCACUUAAAACAAUAAUAAAAACUUAUAUUACUCUUUUAUCUUAGACUUUUUGUUAUCUUGUUUAAUAGGAAGACAAUGAAAAUAUAACAAAAAGAGAAAGACUCAUUAGCAUAAACGCUCUAAGUAUUGCUACAAAUUUACGUAAAGGACUUUAUAUAACCAAAUAUAAACAGAGUAGGUACAUCAGAUUUCAAAGACAAGAACUAACAAAAGCAACGAGAUGGUUCUGCAAAGUGACAAUGCUAACACAGGAACCAAACUUGGUCUCGCCGGUCUUGGCUACUCUUUGAUGGAUAUGUAACAUCCCGAUUUUUGGGGAUGCAAUCAUUAAAAGAAAUAAACCUGGUAAGUUGUCUGAAGCUAAUAUGGAGGAUUCUCUCUUCUAAUUUGGUAUGGGUUAAUUGGAUAAAUAUAUACCUAAUUAGAAAAGGUUCAUUAUGGACGGGUAAGGAGAACAUUCAAUUAGGUUCUUGGAUGUGGAAAAAAAAUUCUCAAAUGUAGAGAUAUUGGUAAGAGCUUGUACCGAGUAGAUAUAAGAAAUGGUAGGAAAACAUCUUUCUUGCAUGAAGCUUGGUCGCCACUGGGUUGUCUUCAGGAUAUGAUGAGGGAAGGAAACUAUAUUGAUAUGGGAAUUCCUAUAAAUGCAACCGUUGAUGUGAGUAGGAAGCAUAGAAGACCGCAUCAUCGGGUUCAUAUCUUGAAUAAUGUAGAAGAUGAGAUUGCGAGGUAUAAGGCAAACUUUGUUAAUGAAGAAGAUGUUUCCUUAUGGAAGAAUGGGACAUGACAAUACAAAAUGAACUUCUCAACGAGUGAAACAUGGAAGGUGAUUAGAAAAGAGUAUAUUGCUUGAAAUUGGUACAAAGAGAUUUGGUUCAAGUAUGUCACAUCGAAGCACUCUUUCAUUACUUGGGUUGCAAUGAAGGGGAGGCCUGCAACAGGAGAUCGCAUGAGGCAUUGGAGUGGGUUGGUGGACAGAUCUUGUGUCUUAUGCAAUGAUCCUUUGGAAACAAUGGAGCAUUUAUUUUUUGAGUGUGAGUAUUCUGCUCAAAUUUGGAAACAGAUGAUGGAAGGGGUGUUGCUACACAAGUAUACAAAUCAAUGGGAGAGGAUAAUGAGGAUCAUGAUAAGGCCGCAGGGGAGUAAAGUGAAGUCUUUUGUUAUUAAGUACAUGUUUCAACUUUCUAUUCACACAAUCUGGAGGGAAAGAAAUCGAAGGCGGCAUGGGGAGAGCCCCUCUCCUGUGAAUAUUUUGGCAAGUUUGAUAGACAAGGGGAUGAGAAACAAGCUCACUAUCAUUCAGAGGAGAAAGGAUAAAGAUUUGGAGGGAGGCAUGAUCUAUUGGCUUAGUACCAGAAUUUGAAGUUUGUUUUUUUAUCAUUGGUUUUGAGCUUUUCGAUUUUACUUUGGGAGUUAGUUAUAGUAGAAGGAGAUAGGGUUUUCAUUUUUUUUUUUGUCAACAUCAUUACAGACUCAUAUUGACUCUGUAAACCACACCGGGAGAUAUUGAUCCAUAUGAACGACGAAAGACGUUUGUUUCCUGACACUGUGUGCUAGGUUAUCUGCCUUUGUAUUUUGCGUUCUUGGUACAUGUAUAAUCUCUGAUCGUGUGAAGCUCUCAGACUCUCUUUCAGACUCUUGAUAGGGUUUUCAUUUAGACAGGUAACACUUGAUGUAACAAGGUUAUUUCUUCUUUGAAUUCAGUUUAACAUUCAAUUCAAAAAAAAAUUAAAAUAGAUAUUUCGAACAACAAAUACUAUUAUCAGAAUUUUUUAAUUUACCAAUAAACAAUGAUAUCAUUAAAAAAAUUUAUAGUCAUAUUGUUUGUUGUUUUUGAUUAAAAUAAGAAUGAUAUAAUGGUACAUGAUUUAUUUUUAAAAUCAUUUAGAAAUAAAACAUACCUUGAAAAGAAAAAUAAAGCACCUCAAAAUGUAAUUAAAAACAAAAUUAUAUAUACAAUAAUAUAAAUAGAAGUCAUUAUAUAGCUACAUGUAUUUAUAUAUUAUAAAAAAAUCAACACAAUUUAAAAAUAUAUAAAUACAACCGCCACUCUAAAUACAAAAAAAUAAAUACCUAUUUUGACAAGAAGAAAUAAAUACUCACACCAAUUUUUUUAAAUAACUUCCAAAAAGAACUUUUUUAAACCAAACGAUUUUGUUGCAUUUCCAACACAAUUAUAUGAUACCUCAUAACAAAACCAACAAUGGUUCUUUACAAAAAUGUGGAAUUUAUGCCUGGAUUUAAGAUGGGAGUAUCUCAUUGGUUGAGCCAUAUAUGGCAAAGUUAAUUUAGAGUUUUUUUUUCAAAGGAAAUGGCAUAAGAAUGUAAAUAACUCAAAAAAAUAUGAGGGCAAAAUCCUAGUAGAGAUUCUGCUUUAAUAGUAUAAAUAUAUUUUUCAAUAUGAUAACCACACAAUAGUUUGAAAAUUUCUAUAACCAACUUAAUAAGGAAAAAAGGAGUUGAACACAGAUAUGAUAACCAGACACUAAUUAGAAAGAAAAAAACAGUCAAACAAAUCUAAUCAAUUUUUAAGGAUUACCAUGCAAGACAUGCAUUACUAAUUAGAUUGUUCUAUCUAUAAAUUAAUCAUGAUCUUAAAUAGAAAUUACAACCAUCAAACUAGUAAAUCAAAAAAUAAAAAUUCUAAUAAACGUCUGUUUCUUUAUCGUAAUAAUAUGACGAAGAACGAUAUGUCUUCAUCACAUCUUGCCAUUUUUUGCGUCAUUCUGAUUGCAUUAUUUCCACUUCAUGAAUGUAUGUGUUUAUACUAGUUUCCCUUUUCUCAUCAUAUAUCAAUGUUAUCCUUGCAAUCACAUCAUGAUAUCCAAGUGAUAUUGUUGUUGCUUUUUUGUUUAUAUAUAGUUGUCGAUGGCCAAAGUGCUAAUGCGGGAUUUUGCGUGCCAGUCAAUUGCGACACUAAUGACAAAAAUCGCAGUUGUGCUACCUGUCACAUUGCCUCGCCACGCAAGACACUUAGUUUCAAGAGCUUAGCAGAAUGUAAGGCUGGGUGCAAGGCAUAAGUUAACUCGAGGCGUGCAAAUAGCACUGAAUAAACGUUUUAUUUAUCACGUAAUUUAUCUGCUUCCGAUUUUAACUACAAUACAGAAUCUUAUUUUGAGUCCAAUAAAUCAAAUUUAUGCCUAUUGUAUAUGUGUUUAGAGAUUUCCAUAUUCUACGUAAUACAAAAUAGUUUAACCUAUUUCUCUCCUUUUGUUUUGUUUGACUAUUAAUAUUUUUUUAAGAAAAUAUAUCUUCUGUAUAAUUACUAAGAAUAAGUUUUUUAAACUGAAUAGUUUGUAAUAAUGGUAAAUGGUAAGUUUUUUUUUCUAUUUCCUUAUACGCCAUAUACUACUUGUGAGUUAGGAAAAAACAUAGAUCAAAGAGUAAACGUAGAGAUUUUCUUAUUAGUCUUCACAAUCACUUAAAACAAUAAUAAAAACUUAUAUUACUCUUUUAUCUUAGACUUUUUGUUAUCUUGUUUAAUAGGAAGACAAUGAAAAUAGAACAAAAAGAGAAAGACUCAUUAGCAUAAACGCUCUAAGUAUUGCUACAAAAUUACGUAAAGGACUUUACAUAACCAAAUAUAAACAGAGUAGGUACAUCAGAUUUCAAAGACAAGAACUAACAAAAGCAACGAGAUGGUUCUGCAAAGUGACAAUGCUAACACAGGAACCAAACUUGGUCUCGCCGGUCUUGGCUACUCUUUGAUGGAUAUGUAACAUCCCGAUUUUUGGGGAUGCAAUCAUUAAAAGAAAUAAACCUGGUAAGUUGUCUGAAGCUAAUAUGGAGGAUUCUCUCUUCUAAUUUGGUAUGGGUUAAUUGGAUAAAUAUAUACCUUAUUAGAAAAGGUUCACUAUGGACGGGUAAGGAGAACAUUCAAUUAGGUUCUUGGAUGUGGAAAAAAAUUCUCAUGUGUAGAGAUAUUGGUAAGAGCUUGUACCGAGUAGAUAUAAGAAAUGGUAGGAAAACAUCUUUCUUGCAUGAAGCUUGGUCGCCACUGGGUUGUCUUCAGGAUAUGCUGAGGGAAGGAAACUAUAUUGAUAUGGGAAUUCCUAUAAAUGCAACCGUUGAUGUGAGUAGGAAGCAAAGAAGACAGCAUCAUCGAAUUCAUAUCUUGAAUAAUGUAGAAGAUGAGAUUGCGAGGUAUAAGGCAAACUUUGUUAAUGAAGAAGAUGUUUCCUUAUGGAAGAAUGGGACAUGACAAUACAAAAUGAACUUCUCAACGAGUGAAACAUGGAAGGUGAUUAGAAAAGAGUAUAUUGCUUGAAAUUGGUACAAAGAGAUUUGGUUCAAGUAUGUCACAUCGAAGCACUCUUUCAUUACUUGGGUUGCAAUGAAGGGGAGGCCUGCAACAGGAGAUCGCAUGAGGCAUUGGAGUGGGUUGGUGGACAGAUCUUGUGUCUUAUGCAAUGAUCCUUUGGAAACAAUGGAGCAUUUAUUUUUUGAGUGUGAGUAUUCUGCUCAAAUUUGGAAACAGAUGAUGGAAGGGGUGUUGCUACACAAGUAUACAAAUCAAUGGGAGAGGAUAAUGAGGAUCAUGAUAAUGCCGCAGGGGAGUAAAGUGAAGUCUUUUGUUAUUAAGUACAUGUUUCAACUUGCUAUUCACACAAUCUGGAGGGAAAGAAAUCGAAGGCGGCAUGGGGAGAGCCCCUCUCCUGUGAAUAUUUUGGCAAGUUUGAUAGACAAGGGGAUGAGAAACAAGCUCACUAUCAUUCAGAGGAGAAAGGAUAAAGAUUUGGAGGGAGGGAUGAUCUAUUGGCUUAGUACCAGAAUUUGAAGUUUGUUUUUUUUAUCAUUGGUUUUGAGCUUUUCUAUUUUACUUUGGGAGUUAGUUAUAGUAGAAGGAGAUAGGGUUUUCAUUUUUUUUUUUGUCAACAACAUUACAGACUCAUAUUGACUCUGUAAACCACACCGGGAGAUAUUAAUCCAUGUGAACGACGAAAGACGUUUGUUUCCUGACACUGCGUGCUAGGUUAUCUGCCUUUGUAUUUUGCGUUCUUGGUACAUGUAUAAUCUCUGAUCGUGUGAAGCUCUCUUUCAGACUCUCUUUCAGACUCUUGAUAGGGUUUUCAUUUUGACAGGUAACACUUGAUGUAACAAGGUUAUUUCUUCUUUGAAUUCAGUUUAACAUUCAAUUCAAAAAAAAAUUAAAAUAGAUAUUUCGAACAACAAAUACUAUUAUCAGAAUUUUUUAAUUUACCAAUAAACAAUGAUAUCAUUAAAAAAAAUAUUGUCAUAUUGUUUGUUGUUUUUGAUUAAAAUAAGAAUGAUAUAAUGGUACAUGAUUUAUUUAUAAAAUCAUUUAGAAAUAAAACAUACCUUGAAAAAAAAAAUAAAGCACCUCAAAAUGUAAUUAAAUACAAAAUUAUAUAUACAAUAAUAUAAAUAGAAGUCAUUAUAUAGCUACAUGUAUUUAUAUAUUAUAAAAAAAAUCAACACAAUUUAAAAAUAUAUAAAUAC
rnacentral:lncRNA from 1 species